rnacentral:rRNA from 1 species
CAGCAGCCGCGGUAAUACGAGGGGGGCAAGCGUUGUUCGGAAUUAUUGGGCGUAAAGGGCGCGUAGGCGGUUUGGCAAGUUUGGUGUGAAAUCUUCGGGCUCAACUCGAAGUCUGCAUCGAAAACUGCCGGGCUUGAGUAUGGGAGAGGUGAGUGGAAUUUCCGGUGUAGCGGUGAAAUGCGUAGAUAUCGGAAGGAACACCUGUGGCGAAAGCGGCUCACUGGACCAUAACUGACGCUGAGGCGCGAAAGCUAGGGGAGCAAACAGGAUUAGAUACCCCGGUAGUCCCUGUCUCUUAUAC